rnacentral:rRNA from 1 species
CAAUAGCGUAUAUUUAAGUUGUUGCAGUUAAAAAGCUCGUAGUUGGAUUUCGGGUGGGACGCAGCGGUCUCGCAUUGCGUUUGUACUGCUGCAGCCCUCCUUCUUGCCGGGGGCGGCCCUCCGGACUUUACUGUCUGGGGGUCAGAAUCGGCGAUGUUACUUUGAGUAAAUUAGAGUGUUCAAAGCAAGCUUACGCUCUGAAUAUAAUAGCAUGGGAUAACACGACAGGACUCUGGCCUAUCGUGUUGGUCUAUAGGACCAGAGUAAUGAUUAAGAGGGACAGUCGGGGGCAUUCGUAUUCCGUUGUCAGAGGUGAAAUUCUUGGAUUUACGGAAGACGAACAUCUGCGAAAGCAUUUGCCAAGGAUGUUUUCAUUGAUCAAGAACGAAAGUUGGGGGCU